UCCUGAACUUUCCGAUCAGAAGUGCAUCUGUAUGUGGUGAAAGUAGUAAACUUGAUAAAUUCUCUUAUUUUGGCAGUGACUUUCAUAUGUCUCGGCCUUUGGUCAUUGAAAUCAGGAGGUGCCUAGGAAGACCUUAUGGAGUCAUGUGGUUGUUCAUCACAGGUGUGUGGUGAUGUGGAUGUCACUGCAGGGGUCUGAAGGUCCACGUCAUUAUGGUCCUGGUGCUGCUUAUUUUACUGUAUGGAAUGUAAGACUUAGUAGCUAACCAGUGAAUUAAGGCAACAUUUUAAUGUCUUUAGUCUUUGGGCUCUCUGUAGGAUCCUUGGGGAAGUAUGUUCUUUUGACUUCUCAUUUUUUUCCACUUGGGGUC